AUACGGAGGAUCCGAGCGUUAUCCGGAUUUAUUGGGUUUAAAGGGAGCGUAGGCGGACGCUUAAGUCAGUUGUGAAAGUUUGCGGCUCAACCGUAAAAUUGCAGUUGAUACUGGGUGUCUUGAGUACAGUAGAGGCAGGCGGAAUUCGUGGGGUAGCGGUGAAAUGCUUAGAUAUCACGAAGAACUCCGAUUGCGAAGGCAGCCUGCUUGACUGUAACUGACGCUGAUGCUCGAAAGUGUGGGUAUCAAACAGGAUUAGAUACCCUGGUAGUCCACACAGUAAACGAUGAAUACUCGCUGUUUGCGAUAUACAGUAAGCGGCCAAGCGAAAGCGUUAAGUAUUCCACCUGGGGAGUACGCCGGCAACGGUGAAACUCAAAGGAAUUGACGGGG
rnacentral:rRNA from 1 species